rnacentral:lncRNA from 1 species
CCCAACCCCCUGGACUCUGCCCAGGAAAAUUUGUCGUCUUUGGAAAUUAUUACAAAGUUCAGCUGGAAGUCUCCUUCUCCCUGUGGACCUUCCCCAAUUCCACUGGCUGCCCUCCUCAAGGACCCCUGUGAGAUAAAUUCAGAAAUGGCUAUCCUUGGCUUCCCUGGGGAACAAGAGUGCCUGCAGUUCUUUUCCCACUUCUUUUACUUUUCUAUUUCACUGGGCUCUCUAAAUUCAUUUCAGCUCUAGGGAUUUGGAAAGGAUUCCGUGAUGGUUAAUAUUGAGUGUCAACUUGAUUGGAUUGAAGGAUGCAAAGUAUUGUUCCUGGGUGUGUCUGUGAGGGUGUCACCAAAGGAGAUGAACAUUUGAAUCAGUGAGCUGGGAGACACAAACCCAUACUCAAUCUUGGGGGACACCAUCUAAUCAGCUGCCAGUGCAACUAGGAUAAAAUCAGGCAGAGAAAUUUGGAAAGACUAGACUGGCUGAGUCUUCUGGCCUUCAUCUUUCUCCCAUGCUAGAUGCUUCCUGACCUCGAAUAUCAGACUCCAAGUUCUUUAGCUUUUGGACUCUUGGACCUUUGGCCACAGACGGAAGGCUGCACUUUUGAAGUUUUGGGACUUGGACUGGCUUCCUUGCUCCUCAGCUUACAGAUGGCCUAUUGUGGGACUUCACCUUGUGAUUGUGAUUUCAAACCUUCUGGGUUUCUUCCCAGCGCUAAAUCCUGUCGACUGGAUUCACUAGGAUGAAUAGAGAAAGAAGUGUUACAUUUUAAGAUAAUUUCUUUUCUAAACACACAGAAAGGUGACCCAAGUCUGGAUGUAAAUGUGUUUUUAGGCAACUUCCACGUGGAAAGAGGUACUCAUCAAGUUUAGCUGAAUAGUCUUGUGAUUCACAGCUUGUCUUUUGAGAAGAGUGGAGGAAAUCGUGUCAUUUAUCAUGGGUAAUUCCAGUAUGGCUCACACUAUCAAUCUCUCUGACAAUCUCCUCAACAACUCGAAGACCAAUCUGUGGCUGGAAACUGUCCAGGUGAUAAGCAUCAGGAUGCUGUGGGCCAGGCCUGCUACAACACCUGCUCUAAAGUCAGAUGUACCAUCUGCAGUGAAUGUAACCCAACUUAUGAAGAGGAAUCCAACAGUGUAACAAUGUUACAAUAUGCACGUAAGAAGGGACUUAGUGAUGUCCCCAGUGGGUUCACCUCUCUCUUUGAACUGAGCAAUUUUAUGAUUAUAGGAACAACUGUUUUCUUCUUUCAUAACAUGAGUAAAAAAGCCUGAUCAACUUCUGGUGGUAUAAAAUAUUCAGAUUCUUAGUAAAUAAGAAGUUUAGAGAUGGAAAUAAAUGCUUUAUGGAUUUGUUGUCUCAGCUAGACACAGGCUUCGAGAAUUUAGAAUAUUUUUCUUUAAUAUUCACUAUCUGAAAAAUAAAUAAGAAUGGAUUUUUAGUUUUAAA